GAGCGCACUUUUGGUGAGCUUGCUCCCAAAAGUUAGCGGCGGACGGGUGAGUACACGUGGGCAACCUACCUAUAAGACUGGGAUAACUUCGGGAAACCGGAGCUAAUACCGGAUGAUUCUUUUCUACACAUGUAGGAAAGCUGAAAGACGGUUUACGCUGUCACUUAUAGAUGGGCCCGCGGCGCAUUAGCUAGUUGGUGAGGUAACGGCUCACCAAGGCCACGAUGCGUAGCCGACCUGAGAGGGUGAUCGGCCACACUGGGACUGAGACACGGCCCAGACUCCUACGGGAGGCAGCAGUAGGGAAUCUUCCGCAAUGGACGAAAGUCUGACGGAGCAACGCCGCGUGAGUGAUGAAGGUUUUCGGAUCGUAAAACUCUGUUGUUAGGGAAGAACAAGUAUGAGAGUAACUGCUCGUACCUUGACGGUACCUAACCAGAAAGCCACGGCUAACUACGUGCCAGCAGCCGCGGUAAU
rnacentral:rRNA from 1 species